rnacentral:misc_RNA from 1 species
GAUGAAGAACGUAGUGAAAUGCGAUACGUAAUGUGAAUUGCAGAAUUCAGUGAAUCAUCGAGUCUUUGAACGCACAUUGCGCCCCCUGGUAUUCCGGGGGGCAUGCCUGUCCGAGCGUCAUUGCUGCCCUCAAGCACGGCUUGUGUGUUGGGCCUCCGUCCUCCUCCCGGGGGACGGGCCCGAAAGGCAGCGGCGGCACCGCGUCCGGUCCUCGAGCGUAUGGGGCUUCGUCACCCGCUCUUGUAGGCCCGGCCGGCGCUUGCCGACACAUCAAUCUUUUUUCCAGGUUGACCUCGGAUCAGGUAGGGAUGCCCGCUGAACUUAAGCAUAUCAAUAAGCGGAGGA